rnacentral:rRNA from 1 species
UACGAAGGGGGCUAGCGUUGCUCGGAAUUACUGGGCGUAAAGCGCACGUAGGCGGUCUUUUAAGUCAGGGGUGAAAUCCUGGAGCUCAACUCCAGAACUGCCCUUGAUACUGAGGAUCUUGAGUUCGGGAGAGGUGAGUGGAACUGCGAGUGUAGAGGUGAAAUUCGUAGAUAUUCGCAAGAACACCAGUGGCGAAGGCGGCUCACUGGCCCGAUACUGACGCUGAGGCACGAAAGCGUGGGGAGCAAACAGG